GGAGAGGUGCGUGAGCGGUUUAAACGGCCAGUCUUGAAAACUGGUGAGGGUUUACCCCCUCCGCGGGUUCGAAUCCCGCCCUCUCCG
rnacentral:tRNA from 1 species